CCUACGGGAGGCAGCAGUGGGGAAUUUUGGACAAUGGGCGCAAGCCUGAUCCAGCAAUGCCGCGUGAGUGAAGAAGGCCUUCGGGUUGUAAAGCUCUUUUGUCAGGGAAGAAACGGUGGGAGCUAAUAUCUCUUGCUAAUGACGGUACCUGAAGAAUAAGCACCGGCUAACUACGUGCCAGCAGCCGCGGUAAUACGUAGGGUGCAAGCGUUAAUCGGAAUUACUGGGCGUAAAGCGUGCGCAGGCGGUUUUGUAAGACUGUCGUGAAAUCCCCGGGCUCAACCUGGGAAUGGCGAUGGUGACUGCAAGGCUAGAGUUUGGCAGAGGGGGGUAGAAUUCCACGUGUAGCAGUGAAAUGCGUAGAUAUGUGGAGGAACACCGAUGGCGAAGGCAGCCCCCUGGGUCAAAACUGACGCUCAUGCACGAAAGCGUGGGGAGCAAACAGGAUUAGAUACCCUGGUAGUCCACGCCCUAAACGAUGUCUACUAGUUGUCGGGUCUUAAUUGACUUGGUAACGCAGCUAACGCGUGAAGUAGACCGCCUGGGGAUACGGUCGCAAGAUUAAAACUUAAAGGAUUGACGG
rnacentral:rRNA from 1 species